rnacentral:lncRNA from 1 species
AUGUUCAGACCAGUUCCAAGGAUAAAAACACGCGUUGCCGGAGCGAAGGGGAGCGUUGCGCCCGCCCUCCCGGCGCUGGGGCCAGGCCCGAGCAGCCGGAGGACGGGGACGCGGGGACCGGCUCCGGCGUUGGCGCGCUCCGUCCUCGCCCAGCACCGAGUUCGGAUGCUGCCGGGCGGCRGCGCAGCUAGAUGGAAGCAGAGAGGCGAAUCCCGGGAGCCGCUGGGGCGGAGGCGGGAGGAACGGGUGCGGAGAGCGAGGCCGCGCCGGCGCCGCGCUCCGGGGCCUCAGAGGCUCUUGCAGAAGAGCUUGCGGUGGCGGGUGAGGGCGCGCAGGGCGGUGCCGGGGGGCCCGCGCCAGGCCUCGCGGGCGGCCCCCUGGUCGCUGCGGCUCAGGCGCCGGCUGCAGAGCCGCAGGUCCCGCACGCGGGCCGCGGCCGCGGCCCAGGUGUCGGCGUCCAGCGGGCCCUGCACGGAGCAGCCUGCGAGGGAAGGCGGCACCGCCGUCAGCCUCCCGCGCGCUGCCCGCGCGGAGCCGCGGGGUCCGGCCCUACCUGCCAGGCUGAGGAAGUGGAGCCCCUCGCGCCGCUCCGCCAGCGCCGAGAGCAGCGCGCGCAGGCCCGCGAUGCCGACGCCGGGGUUGGCGGACAAAUCCAGGGAGAGCAGAGCGGGGCAGGCGGGGAGGCACCUGCGGCGAGGGGAGGCGGUGAGGGGGUCCCUGGCRCAUCCCCUCCCCUGCAGCCCUGCUCCCGCAGGCGCCCGGGACCCCCGCGGCCCCCGCCCCUCACCUGGCCAGCUCCAGGACCGCGGCGUCAUCCAGGCGAUUCCCGGAGAGCGUCAGGUGGGUCAGAGCGCAGCCCUCCUGCAAGGGAGCGGAGGCGGCGGUCGGAGGGGCGCAAACCCUCUGCCACGGCCUCCCCGCGUCCCUCCCCAAAACGGCGCAAAGGCCACGGCCCGUCCCCGCGGCAGGGGGGUAAAACCCGGGGCGGCCCCGCUUACCUGCGUCAGGUACCCGCGCACGGCCUCGGCGACGGCCUCGGCGCCCGCUGGGGCCACGGAGCCCAGCUCCAGGCGGCCCAGGGUGCCGCAGGACAGGCUCCGCAGGAGCUGCUCCAGCCCCGCCGGCCCCAGGGCGUUGCAGGACACGGCCAGCGUCUUCAGGUGCGCGGCCCCUGGGAGCAGAGGCCCGGGUCAGCGCGGUGCCCCAGCCCCGAGCGCUCCCACCGCCCCCCGAGCCGGCACGGGGGGCCGCUCACCCGCGAGGGCGCCGGCCAGCGCYGGGCGGCAGUGCUGGAGGAAGCCGGCGGCGAAGCCGCAGCCCUGCAGCCGCAGCGUCGUCAGCACGGGGCAGGCCCGCAGCAGCAGGGCCAGGGGCCGGCAGCCGGCGUCGCCCAGGGGGUUCAGGCUCAGAUCCAGCUCCUCCAGGCUCUGCGACGGGGAGGGAGGACGUGAGCUCGGCCCCGCUUGGCGACCGCGCUCACCGGCACGGCCGGCUCCGGCGGGGAGGGACCGGGGCGCUUUCUGUCCCCUCCAGCCCUGA